rnacentral:lncRNA from 1 species
CCAAAUCCCAAAAUCAAGAACAAACGGUUGGCAAGCUUCUUGGAAAAAGUUUCUGAUAGAUAUGAUGUACCUCAAAGGCUAUGUUAGCCUCUAUCCAAACUUUCCAAAUCAAGUUAAUCAACAAAGCAUUUUGACCAAUCAUAUGGAAACCUGGCUCAUAUCUGCGCAAAAGAAAACGCAGUGAAACACGACAACACAGAUUUCGAGGUGCCCUUGAUGAAACAAGUCUUCAAAACUGCAUUGCCUAAUAGAAAAUUGCCUCCAGCUUCAAAAUUGCCAUCGCUUAACCUCUUCGAUCAAGCGGUUUCUUUGAAAGGUUUGAGGGCUGCUGGUGCAAAGCUGAGGCAGGAUGUGCUUGAAUGCAAUCCAACACAAGUAGUGGCAGCCAAUCAUGAAACAGGUCUACCUUCACAUUGUGCAAAUUUCUGAUUGAACUUGCUACAAUUCUUUUAUUUCAAAUUACAGAUAUUUUUUUUCUUCUUCUUUUUCAUUUGACCAUUAUAGUUUGUACAUAAUCUUGAUGGGGAUGGUCCCAAAUCGCAAUUGUAACAAACAAACGAAAUCGGGGGUUCAAAUUGUAACAGAAUUAAUCUGAUUUUUGGUUCCCUGUGAAAUGAAGGGGAAUUAUGAUAUCUAGUGAAAAAGACUAUAAAUUCAGCUUGUAAUAUGUAGAGGUGUUGACUAGCGCAUUUAC